rnacentral:rRNA from 1 species
UAGGAAUGCACAUCUUACGAUGCAGGUCGAGCGGAGCGUAUUAGCGGAAGUUUUCGGAUGGAAGCGGAUAUGACUUAGCGGCGGACGGGUGAGUAACGCGUGGAUAACCUGCCUCAUACAGGGGGAUAACAGUUAGAAAUGACUGCUAAUACCGCAUAAGCGCACAGGACCGCAUGGUCCGGUGUGAAAAACUCCGGUGGUAUGGGAUGGAUCCGCGUCUGAUUAGCUGGUUGGUGAGGUAACGGCCCACCAAGGCGACGAUCAGUAGCCGACCUGAGAGGGUGGCCGGCCACAUUGGGACUGAGACACGGCCCAAACUCCUACGGGAGGCAGCAGUGGGGAAUAUUGCACAAUGGGGGAAACCCUGAUGCAGCAACGCCGCGUGAGUGAAGAAGUAUUUCGGUAUGUAAAGCUCUAUCAGCAGGGAAGAAGAAAGACGGUACCUGACUAAGAAGCCCCGGCUAACUACGUGCCAGCAGCCGCGGUAAUACGUAGGGGGCAAGCGUUAUCCGGAUUUACUGGGUGUAAAGGGAGCGUAGACGGCUGUGCAAGUCUGAAGUGAAAGCCCGUGGCUCAACCGCGGAACUGCUUUGGAAACUGUAUAGCUUGAGUACUGGAGAGGCAGGCGGAAUUCCUAGUGUAGCGGUGAAAUGCGUAGAUAUUAGGAGGAACACCAGUGGCGAAGGCGGCCUGCUGGACAGAAACUGACGUUGAGGCUCGAAAGCGUGGGGAGCAAACAGGAUUAGAUACCCUGGUAGUCCACGCGGUAAACGAUGAAUGCUAGGUGUUGGGGAGCAAAGCUCUUCGGUGCCGUCGCAAACGCAGUAAGCAUUCCACCUGGGGAGUACGUUCGCAAGAAUGAAACUCAAAGGGAAUUGACGGGGACCCGCACAAGCGGUGGAGCAUGUGGUUUAAUUCGAAGCAACGCGAAGAACCUUUACCAAGUCUUGACAUCCUCCUGAAUGAUGGGUAAAGCCGUCAGUCUUCGGGACAGAGAGAA